UUUAGGAAGUUUCCAGCCCUGAGGGAGCUGAACCUGUCCUUGAAUGGACUGAGGAAACUCAGCCUCAGCCCUGGGGACUUCCUGCGUUUGGAGCGUUUGGACCUCUCCUACAAUCGUUUGUCCCCCCAGGACGUUUGGAGCUUGGGGAGCCUCUCCCAGCUCCGAGUGCUUCACCUGACAGCUAACGGCCUUAGCUCUCUGCCCACAGACCUGGCAGGCUCCUGGCAGUGAGUGGGCACAGCUGGCAAGGGAGUGGGCAGGAAGGCCAGGGGUUCCCAUCACCGUCAGUCCGUGCAGGGCUUCCACGCCUGAGGUUCAAAGGGAGCAGCUCAGAACCUCCUCAGCGCCUCACAGCUUCCAUACCAGACGGGGAAGGCUGC